AAUCUUAUGAAACAGGAUAUAAAGACACUGCUGGUGGAUUGAAGUACCAGAACAGAAGGGAGAGAACUGUCCUAGAAAGGGAGCACGGGGAUGGUUCACUUCACUGGAAACAAGGCACACUGCCUAGUUCUGCUGGAACCUACAUAAAGACCAAUGUUAAGGAUGCCCCAUCUGCUAAUGACAAUAAUGGCAAUGAAGACCAUGUUGCUAACUCGUUGAGGAAGGCCAGGAGAGGAGAUAUAGAAAGGUCCUACUGCAAAAGUCCUCUGCCACCUCCUUAUGUUAAGCCUCCUUAUGUUAAGCCAAAUGUUAAACCCCCGAAGGAUGGCAAGUACGGGUCCAAAUCGGAGUCUGUUUUUGACGGCUCGAAAAUUCCAGAAUCAAGUGAAAAUUCUAUACCAAUUUUCAAUGGUCACAAAAUUCCUUUGAAAAAUUAUGUCCAACGGUUUGAUUAGAAAAAAUUUCUUCGAAAGAAUGUCAACAGCUAAUGCGGCAUGAGAAGUAUUUAAAGGAGAUAAUUUGAUCAAGAAGUGAAAGGGAAUUUGAAUUUGAAAUUCAAAAAUCUGAAGCUACUCUUAAUUACCUGUCUUUGUCUAUGAGCAUUACAAUGUGUGAUCAAGAGAAAAAAAAAAAAAAAGAGUGUCUUGGUGAGCUAGAGAAAUUUAGCGGUGAGUGUUUGUACUCAUAAGUUGUAAUCUUCUAUUGAUCUUGUAGUGAAAUUCAGCCAGUAGGCUGUCAGCAUGGAAUGAUGAACGUAGACUUGAUUUAAGUUGAACUAUUAUAAAAGUCGUGUAUAAUUUUUUUCCCUUAACUCUAUUUAUUUUAAGUUUGUUGCACUUACUCUCUUAGAAAUCAGGUGUUUCUCAAGACUAUUUCUAUUCCUCAUUCAUACUUAGCUGGCAAUUUAAUUCUACUCCAUAAUCGUUCGGUAAAUUUUAUUUAGACACUCAUUCACCCCAUAGGUGUUAGAACUAGCUAUUUCAGUUUGCAAGUUUGGUGACUAUAUUUUCUAUAUUGGACUUGGUCUCUUUAGGUUAUUUGAAUGUUGGUUGUGGUCUCAUCAUAUUCUGAUACUCCAUGAAAAACUUGGAUGAUUGCGGCAUCUCAAAUUAUAUGUGUUGGAGUAGGGAUUAUUUAGUGACAUGUCAAAAUUUCCAACACUAAGUUGUGUAAAAGAAUUACCUACCUAACACUCUCUGCUUACAUGUCCUCCACCAUAAAAGUUACAUGUCAUAUUUUGAAUUUUCAUGGUUUCACCAUAAAAGUUACACGUCAUAUUUUGAAUUUUCAUGGUUGAAACACUCAUGUUAUCUAGUUUUUUGUUGAGCACUUCUAUUAGCUUUUGGUAUCAGUAGUCUCUCGGUAGGCCACUGAUAGCUAUUUUAUGCCAUUUACUCUAAUAGGUUUGUAAAAGUUCUCGCUGCAGUUGCAUCAAUCAUAGAACAAAAAUUUAUAAUUGAUUAAUUAUAAAAAGUUUGUAUUUGCAUCCAUAUGGGUAAUCCAUGAUGUGGGAAUCUCUUGAGAAACUCCUUAAAUCUUUUCCAUACUUCGUACAAUGAUUCAUUAUCCCUCUACAUAAAAUUAGUAUGCCUUUUUGCAGACUUUGCAGCUAGAAAGAACUUACCAAGAAUUUUUUGAGCCAUAUCAUUCUAUGUAAUGAUCAAUCCUAUGGGAAAAGAAGAGAGCUAACCCUUGACCUUAUCUCUAAGGGAAAAUAGAAAUAAUCUUAAUCUAAUGGCAUCAUCUAUGACUCCAUUAUAUUUAAUUGUGUCACAAAUUUCAAGAAAAAAACAUUGAUAUGGGCAUUUGGAUCAUCGCUUGAUAGCUCACUAAAUUGCAUUGAUUGUUGAAGGAUCUGAAUGAGUAAUGGUUUAAUCUCAAAGUUAUUUUUUUGAAUUGUAGGACUUCUGAUGCUUGAUGUGGUGCCCUGAAUUGUUGGCACAGCAUAAUAUCUCAAGAGUCUAUAUUGAUUUUCAUUCUCACCAUCUUCCGCCAUCUUCUUAGCAUGAUUUCUCUGUUCAAUUAGUCACCUUUUAAAUGUAUGUUCGAUUUCUGGAUCAAAUUCAGAAAGUUUCCAUUAUUGACUACGUGUCAUACACCAAUCUAUACCUUAGAAAAAAUAAAAUGAAAAUUAAACUUAAAAUUAUCCAGAAUCAAUAUUAAUUAGUAUUAAACAAACAAUCCUCGACAAUGGUGCCAAAAACUUGUUCGGUGUGUUCAUUGCAUUUAGAAUUUCACAAACAAAGGCCCAAUCCCUAAAGUAGGAAAUCUACUAUCUACUUAAAAGAGACGUGUGAGACUUAAUAGUGACAAACAAAGUUGGAGGCUAGAAGCAAUCGAGAGUGACGGAGGGAACAACGAGGAUGGAGGCGAUUGAGAGCAAGAGUGAGAGAUGCACUGAUAAGGCCAGAGGCCAUUGAGAGCGAGAGUGAGAGAGGGAGGCAAGGCUGCGAGAUAAGUGAGAUGAGAGAUGAAAGGGAAACUUGGAUUUUGAUAUGCAAAUUUAAAACGUAAAAAUUAAAAUUAUAUAUAUGCUGGUCUGCAAUUCCAUACUUUGAAUUGAAUCGAUACUCACUAACUCUAGUAAAGUGAAACUAGGAACCGAAUUGAUCCCCAUUGGAAAACCCAUUUUGGGCCAAUCCAGUCCUGUCCCAAGUGUUUUUUGAUUCUUUUGUCACACCCCUAACAAAUAGAGGCAUCUAUAUCUCAUAAAAAUACACUCAAUCCUAUCUCCUGGAUGGAAUUUGCCCCGACAUUUUUAAGGGCGCCUAAACUCAUGUUAGGAGACAAUUGAGAGAUUUUAUAAAACUAACAAAUUCUAGAUUUUAAAACUAUUAUUCAAGUCACUUAUCAUAUUCAUCUUAUCUAUUUCUUAACGACUGUCUCUAUAGGAAAUAUAAAUUUUUUCAAUACAAGAUCAAUUCAAUACUUCUUUGCAGUCGAUGUGAGAUUGGAAACUAAUUUCAAAAUACUUGUAGACAAUCCAAAAUAAGUGACAAUCAGUCCAAUCACUAUAAAUGAGCUAAAUAUAGAGAUGAUCUGAAUUUUUUAACAUAUUUAAGCUAGGCUUGUUUCAUUAAAAUGACUAAUUUCAAAAAUAUUUUUCACAAAACGAUUACUUCCGUUGCUUGAAAUACUUAGUUAAUUAAAAAAAAAUACUAUUGGCAACAAUUUAUAUGUAAACAUUUUCAUGAGCAAUGAAAAUAUUUUUCAUUUAUUCAUUUUUGUAAGCAAUAUAAACGAUUAUUUUUUGAAAAAAGAUUUUUUAAAUAAUUUAUUUUCUAUGAAAAAAGCCUUAAUUUAGAUUUGAGAAAUUACAACAUAUCCCUCUGCAAUAAUAGAUGAAUGAUUAGCAUAUCAUUCAUAGGCGAUCUUUUGUUUUAGGAAAAAAAAUGGUCGGAUAAGUUGUUGAUCAACUGCAAAGGGGAGGAAUCAAACAAACAAUAAAAAAGAAAAUAGAAAUCCAACCUUAGAAAAAAUGUUGAAACAGUCCAAAAAUAUAUAAUCUAAGUAGGUGGAAAGUCAGUUAUUUCUCCAACUUUCCAAAAGCUGACAUAACUGUUCUUUCGGGACUUGUUCUUGCCUAGGUUGUUGUCUUGCUACGGAAGGAAAAAUUACUAAAAAACAGUUCGAACUUUAUUUAAAUUACAUUAAAAUGCAAUUGCUUCAGAAAGAUUCUUCAUGGUCGACGGUUUUUCUUCCCCUGGUUGGGCAGAGAAAUCGAUGUACUCCACCACCUGAGCAACUAAAAUAUAAAUAAACUAAAAUGUCCUAUUAAUAGAAGAAUUUGUUAUUAUUAUUUUCCUGGAAAUGUGGUCAUGGGAAAAUUAAUGCAUCCCAGCCUGGUGGAUAAAAAAAAAUUAUUGGUGUAAGAAUAUAUAUGAGUUAGCUAGGUUCUCAUUGCUACUAUAAUUUCAACUGUAUUUCAGAAUAAAUUAUUUAUGUUAGGUUAUGUUCAUUUCAUAAAAACAAUGUAACGUUUUUUGAAAAAUAUUUUAUAGGAUGUCAUUUUUCAAUAAAAUGACAAUAUUUUUCGACGUUCGGUAAAAGUUUAUAAAUAAAUUAAAAAAAAAUUGUUGUUGUUUGGUAUGAAAAUUUUGAUUUGAUUUUCUUCCACGCACUCCUUUUAAGAAUUUUUUAUUUAGAAAAUCAAAAUUUUGAUUAUUUUUAUUUUAAAUUUCCUUUUUCUUUAUAUAUUUUUUAUUUUUCUUUCUAUUUUUUCUUUCUCUCUUCCUCCUUCUACAACCGGCCAAAGGCAAGCUCGACGUUCGUUGGCCUCGGGCUUUGCUAGAUUGGUGAGCCAAAGCGUCAUGUUUGUCAGAAAAUUCAGCAAACGUUUCUUGAAAAUUGUUUAAAUGAAUCAGCCUUAGAUUAAGAACGAAGAAAAAUGUUUUUAAAAAGAAUUUUAGCGAGUAUUUAAUUAAGUGGAUAUGCAGUGGGUAGUUAUUAAGGACGUGCAAAUUGAAUGAUUAUAUGCUGAAGAGAAUUUGUUAGAUUUGGUAGUAGAGGAGAAAAUUCAGUGGGUGGGUGGUUUUUAUUUUUUAUCUUUUUCCUCACUAUUUGAGUGGGUGGUUAUUGAAAUUGGAGCAAUGGCAAAGAAGGUAGUGGGUGAUUCGUGAAUGUGUAUGAUUAGUGAUUACUCAACUAACCUUUAUUUAGUUGAGUAAUCACUAACCUUUAUUUUUCGAAAAAAAAAAAACCAUCAUUUGUACCAUUCUUCUUUAAAAGAUGAACCGGACCGGACUUCUUUUAGUGGGUAACGUUUGAGUUGGCCAAAUAUGGUAGGUGCAAUAAAUAAAAAUGUCCCAUACUCUUUGCCGCUUUUUCUUUUUUAAAGUUUCUUCUAUAGAGGGAAAUAAUUAAUGAAAAACGAAAUGGAGUUAUAGUUCAACUUUCGCUGUGUUCGAUUUUCAUGCCGUAUAUUUUGGUGUAUUAUGCCAUGUUGUAUUAUUCGAUGGCAAAUUAGGUUUGGUGUGCUACACUCAAAAACUAAAGAUUUCAAAAUAGUUUUAAAGUCCAAAAUAAAAUUUUAAAGAACUUUUUACAUAUCUAAGAAUCAUGAAAAAUAUCGAAACGGAAAACCAAAACAAAGCAAAGCAUCUUCAAAUUCUUUGAUUUUUACUCGCUUUCACUUAUUAAUAGUUUGCCUGAUGCAGCAAAAGGCCAAAAAUUUAAUGCGCAGACCAUGGAUAGAUGUGAAUGAAUUGAAAUCAUUUAAUCAAGCGUGCCUUUUUUUCAAUUGUCAUGUCUGAUUUAGGAUUUAAAUUAUCUGUGCUCCAUCUCCCAAUAAAAGAAGCCAAAACAAUUAAAUUUUUAAUUAAAGACCAAAAGUUGACUAAAAGCCCGCUAAAUUAGGCGCAAAGAUGUGCGGUCCAGCUGAGGAGAUCCCUUACCCGUCCCGGUUCCGCCAUCAUUUUUACGGUUCCACCACCCACAUCACCGUCACGAUCUCCAUCGUCAUCUACUCCCCAUUUGACCCGCAAAGUCCCCACAUCCAACGGCAACCAUCCCUUUCUCUCUACCCGAAAUGGCCUUUCGUCUUUUUCCCGUACUACCCUUCCGCCCUUUUUCUUUACGGUGAGAAAAUGACGCAAAUGAUCCAUGAAAUUUUCUCUAAUACAUAAUAUAAUUCAUGAACUUUAAAAUUAUUUAUUAUGAUCUCUAAAAUUUUGAUAUCUAUUCAAUUCAAUCCUUGAAAAAUAUAAAGAUAUUUAAUGUUGUCCGUAAACCUGAAUUUAUGAAAGAACAACAUGGGAUAUUUUCAUAUAUUUCAUGAUCUAACUUGAAUAUGUAUUAAGAGUUCUGAAAUUUUAUUAAACAAAUUAAGAUUUCAUGGAUUAUAUUUCAUAUUGAUCCAAAGUUUAGGAUCAUUUGUGUUGUCAUCAAUUUUUUUUUUUAUAUAUGAAGCCCCCCUUCGAUUUUUGUUUUCAUCUUGGCAAGAGAUCACGUUAGAAACUUCAAGCGAAAAUCAACUAAGAUUACAUUAAAUUUCCACAUAGAGGCUAAGUAUCAAAUUAGAAUGACCAAAGAAUUUAGAAUCACGUAAGAAUCGGAAUGAUAUAUUUUGGAUUGUAUUAACAUGCUUUCCCAAAGCAUUGGACUCGAUUUGGAUGAUGUUCCAACAAGAAUAUUCUCUAGAAAUAAGACUCAUGAAAAUCAUUAUUUAAGGUAAUAAAAGAUUUGAAAAAUAUUUUCAUAAAAAUAAUAUCUUAUAUCACUUACAAAAAUAAAUAAACGAAAAACAUUUUCAUCGAAAACAUAUCGUCAAUAAUGAAGACAUUCUAUAUAAAUUAAUUAUUUGAAUAGCCAUAGGCAGUCAUUUUAAAAAAAUAUUUUUUAAAUUAUCCAUUUUUGUGAACAACUAGAGCCUGAUAAUAAUGACCAAAGAACUUUUUCUAUAUUUGACAAUGAUAAUUUUUGAUUGAUCACAGAUCCUUCCAAAAAAAAAUUAAGAACGUGGGGGACCGAGGUCAUUAUCGUAACUUCCGCCUCCGCUCGCCGUCCCACUCAUUAAGUUGAGCCCAGCUUUUUUUUGAAAAAGCGUGCUCACUGACCCAUCCCCUCUCUCUCUCUCUCUCUCUCUCUCUCUCUCUCUAACAGAUAGAGAGAGUGACGUUACCGUGCAUUCUCAUUCUCUCUCUCUCUCUCUCUCUUCCAUGGCCGAACUCGAUCUGCAUCGCCGGAGCAUGCUGCAUUGCUGAGUCGCUCCCGCCUCGACUCGCCCCGACUCGGUGAUCGUCGCUCGCCGAGGAGACGAGCCCCGCGCCGCCGCCGCCGCCGCCGCCGGAACGAUGCUGGACGGCUUGCUCGGUCGCGGCUUCGCCGCUAAGUGGUGACCUCCUCAGAUCUCUUCCUUCUGUCCGGUUUUUCUCUUUUGCGCGUGCUGUUGUUGCUCCGCGCGUCGUGGCCGCGGUGCCGUUUCGGUUGGUGUUCGGGGGCCGUGACUUUUUGUCUGGUGCUUGUUUUGGCAGCAAAUCGCUGAUCAAGCUGACGAGGUCGAGGAUCGAUGUCAUACGGAGGAAGCGGCAGGCGACGCAGAAGUUCCUGAAGAAAGACAUGGCCGAUCUCCUCGCCAAUGGCCUCGACAUCAAUGCGUAUGGACGGGUAAUUGACUCCUAUAAAUCGCUUUCCGCGAUUUUCGGUCCUUUUGCGUGGUCUGAUUUGGACUAGGCUCUGUUUCUGUGUUGUUUAUGAUGUGAUAGUCCCCAGUAAAGAAAGACGGUGUGAAUGUGGCGAGGAGGUGGCUAUGUUUGCAGAUUUUUGGAAUAAAAUUGAAUCUUUUUUGGAACUUCUUUGCUUUUUUGUAAAUGGAAGGGAAAAAUGGAAUGACUAUCAUGUUCAGUUGUCUUGAGUUACAGAAGUGCAACGAUGCAGUUGCAUUUAGGGGUAGAAUUAGGAGAAUGUAAAAUGGACAACGGUUGAUUUUGCCAUAGUUCUUCAGUGGAUGUCGAUGGCUUUUGGUAUUGUGCUUAACGUUGGUGUAUUCGGUAGCUCCAACUUAAACAAGUAAUCUCUGUGGUGAAUGGUGGGGCAGGCUGAAGGACUUCUGGUCGAAUUGACGCUCUCGUCGUGCUAUGAUUACGUUGAUCUGUGUUGCCAGUUCUUGUUGAAGCAAAUGUCGACAAUGCAAAAGCAGAGGUAUGACCUUCAGAUCCAAGGAUAUUGCCCUACGUUAGCUAGUAAUUCAUGGAAAAAUUUCCAUCUUUUUUUAGAAGAAUUGCAGUCCAUAGCCUCUUUAACUCAACCACUCUUAGGUCCUGUUUGUUAAAAACAAUUUCUGUUCCCGGAACAAAAAUUUAUAUUCUUUUGUUCCAGGGAACGAAAAAAAAUAGAAACUUGUAUGGUAAAAUUUUUGUUCCGGGAAUAGAUUUGGAAAAAAAUAGCUUCUUGUUCUAGCAAUAAUUUCUAGAAUCAAUUUUUCUCUCUUCUGUUUUCGUCUGUUUUCUUCUUCUCUUUCUUUUCUUCUUCUUCUCGACCUUGGCCAUGGCUGGCGCCGGCGACCGGCUAGAUGAGGGCUGGCAACCUUGCCGGAGCGUCGCUGGCCCCCAAGACGCCGAGCCUCGCCGUGGCCGCGAGAGGGUCGGCCUCCCCAGCCGGUGCGAGGCCGGGCCUCGCUAGGCCAGGGCAAGGCCGACCUCACGCUGGCUCGGUGAGGCUGAGGCUCGCUGGGGCUAGGCUGGCCUCCAGCGAAAAAAUCUAAGAAUUUUACAUAACGAAUUUCUAUCCCGGGAAUAGAAAUUUUAAUAAGUUUCCAACUGUAUUCUUUUGCUCAGAAAUUGUUUCCGAAAAUAGAAAUAGAAAAAAUCAUUUCUCAUUAAAAAUUGACGUGGCUCUUUUCAAUUGUGAGGACAUAUGAUGAAGUUAGAGUCUGGAAAAUUUUAAAUCCCCAUUUGCUAAUCAUCUCCCGUAAAUAAACUUGGUCCCAAAAUCCUCAUGUUGGUAUCUGCAACCAUGUCACUUAGUACAUAGACUGCAACAAUUAAGUUGCUCCAGGCUCGUGGAACGUGCUAGUGAUAAAUGACAUCAGUUAGGGAUGCUCAUGAGCAACUGCCUUUUCCAUGUAGCAAGUCACUGAUGCGUCUGUGCAGAUGCUGUUGCUCUUUCCGAAGCAAGCAUUCUGAUGAACAACCACACCUUUAAGAAGUUCGCGGCAUAUGAAAUUUGUAUUUUUUGUUUUUUCCAGGUUUUGCAUUGCAGUUUCUAUUGGUGUUUGGCUGCGAAAGACUACUUUCUCCUCUGUGUAUUUCUUCCUAGCUGUUAAACAUCCUGUUGAGAUUUUUUUUUUUUUUAAUAUCAACUGAAACUCUAGAAAGAAAAGCACAAGAAAUGAUUACGAUUUCCAUGAUGUCAAAUCUUACCACUGGGAUACUGACAAUAAAAGCCUUAUUGUUAUUAGUUAAAUGUUUUGUCAGGAAGUACCUGGCUAUAAACUCCACUAGAGCUUUAGCGUGUUGCUUCUUACUCUUCUGACCAAAUACCGUUCUCACUGUUCUACACUAGACUGAAGCAUUGUUAGCUAAGAUAAUUUUUCAUUUAUCGCAUUUUUCCUUUCAGUGAAUGCCCAGAGGAAUGUUGCGAGGCUGUAUCCUCCCUGAUGUUUGCUGCUGCAAGAUUUUCUGAUUUGCCAGAGUUGCGCGACCUUAGGGAUAGUUUCCAAGAGAGAUAUGGAAAUUCCUUGGAAUGUUUCAUAAAUCAAGAGGUACCCCCUACCUCAGAUAAUGCUUGCUAAGCUAUUAAUGUGCAGCUUUGCUAUAUUACUAAUUACCUGAAAUACUCUCAGUUUUCCAAUAAAUUAGCCGGAAAGCCUUCUACACUGGAAAAGAAAGUUAAGCUAAUGCAAGACAUAGCAUCAGAGUUUUCGAUAAGGUGGGAUGCAAGAGCUUUUGAACAGAGAAUGUCCAGAAACUCUUCGACUGUCCAGGUACGCUCUUGCGCUUUUGUUGUAUUUGAGUGUUAGACUAUCCUUACAUGAAAAGCUAAGACGUAUUCUCCAAGUGCAUCUAUUCAUAUCCUGACUCUGUUUGUGUGUCUUGCAGGAGCAACCGAAAGAUCACGGACUUCUUUCCCAUGCCACUGAUUACUCUAAAUUAACGAAUGCCAAGUAUAUACCUUUGAAAGGAGAUAAGCUGAAUUUCCCUCCAAAGCAAAGUUUUGAAGAAGUGGAUGAAGGGCAGAGGUUCCGUAAUAACAUGGGAGCCAAUGGCUUUAGAAGAAAUGACCUCAAUCCUCAACCAAAGCUUGAAUCAACUGGCAACAAGUGGAAUGAGUUUGAGGACGUUAUCUCGAGGAAAGAUGAUCAUGAUACCCAACAAGGAAGGCCUGGUCGUGCCUCUUAUAAAGCUGAGGAGGGUACUAGCUUGAAACAAGUUAAAUCUGGUGCUUCAUCUCAUGAAAGACGACAUAAGGACACUAAUGGUACUCAACGAGGAAGGCUUGGUCACAGCUCUUAUAAAAUUGAGGAGGAUAGUAGCCCAAAACCAAUUAAAUCUCAGGAAACAGGAUAUAAAGACACUGCUGGUGGAUUGAAGUACCAGAACAGAAGGGAGAGAACUGUCCCAGAAAGGGAGCACGGGGAUGGUUCACUUCACUGGAAACAAGGCACACUGCCUAGUUCUGCUGGAACCUACAUAAAGACCAAUGUUAAGGAUGCCCCAUCUGCUAAUGACAAUAAUGGCAAUGAAGACCAUGCUGCUAACUCAUUGAGGAAGGCUAGGAGAGAAGAUAUAGAAAGGUCCUACUGCAAAAGUCCUCUGCCACCUCCUUAUGUUAAGC
rnacentral:lncRNA from 1 species